UACGGUAAUAUCACGUUGAAACACCGGUUCUUAUACGAUCGCCGAGGUUAAGCAAUGUUUGGCUUCGUGAGUAUCUAGAUGAGUGACCGUUUGGAAAUACCAGGCGCUGUAA